AUACUCUUUUAUCUUCCCCCAAUACACUCAACCUCUCCCCUAUUUACACUCUUCUCUUUCUACCAUACUAAUUUUGCACGCCCUUUUUCACGUUUCUCUCUCUAUUAAUUAAAGACAGCACACGUUUCUCUCUCUAUUAAUUAAUUAAGGACAACAUGCCUAAUUUCUCUGUCAUAUUAAAUCUGAGCUUACAUAUUCGCAGGCUUAAUGUCAUCUUCAAGUACAAACCCUUUCAAGCCUUAAACUUAUUUUUCAAAAUCAGAUUAAUCUUAAAAUCCUUAUUCAACUACAUCUCUAUCAAUCUUCCACAGUUUUUUUAUUUUUCAACCAUCAAAUUCGCAAUAUUGCAUUAUUUUCAGAAAAAAUCGUGUUGUAUAGAUCAUCAAACAUGUUUAUUUUCUUAAAGUUUUUAUUCUUUCAUUGAUUCUUUUGUCAAAUUAUUUAAUUUUUAUAUGUUGUUGCUUGAUUUUAGGAGAAAUUUACGUUGUAUAUAUAAUGCAGAUUUCUUCAAGUUUUAUAUUUGUUCAUGUCAAAUUCUUUAAUAUUUAUUUAUCAAUAAAUAUUUAGGAUCUAAGUUGUUGAAUACAAUGUCUAAACCAAAUGCCCUAUGGAGAUUCACAAGAGGCUAUACAACUGCGAUGGAAUUAGAGAAGAAGUCGAAUGAUGAACUAGUAAGGUCUAGUCCUUCUAAAAGGAAAGUAGUGUCAACGGUGAAAGCAAUCGAAAAAAAAUGUUACAAGAGGAGGAAAGUAAAAAUUUUUGUCCCGGACAUGAUUGGAGAACCGGUUGUUAAUGAAGAACAAGACGAAAUGAGUGAAGAAUCACAUAGUUCAUCAAUUUUUUUUCUUCUUCGUCUUCUUGGUGUGUGAAACCAAGAAAUGAUUUUGACUUGUUCACAAAAAUCCAGCAGUAAAGAUCUUGUAACACUCAUGUCUGCAUGUUGUACAAGAUAUAUUUAACUAUAUAUGUCAUAAUAUAUUAAUUGUUGUAUUUAAUGGUAGUAUGCUUAAAUGAAUAUUUGCACUUUAUUAAA